UUGUCGAAACCUGCCCAGCAGAGCGACCCGCGAACGAGUGAAAACAAACYGGGACGGAACAGUCGGGGGUGUCUGCCCCUGACCGGCCGUCCGCCGGGCCCCGGUUGCCGCCUCGGAAGGGGCGGUGUGUUGGCGUGCCCGUGCAGGACCAAAAACCGGCGCGAUAGGCGCCAAGGAAAUCUCAUGAGGAGACGGAGGGCCGCCUCGUCCGCGGGCGCGGCCCCUCGGAAUCCGAUACUCGAAUGACUCCCGGCAACGGAUAUCUCGGCUCUUGCAUCGAUGAAGAACGUAGCGAAAUGCGAUACUUGGUGUGAAUUGCAGAAUCCCGUGAACCAUCGAGUCUUUGAACGCAAGUUGCGCCCGAGGCCACUAGGCCGAGGGCACGCCUGCCUGGGCGUCACACACAGCGUCGCACCCCGCCAACCAGGUUGACGGGGAGCGGAAACUGGCCCCCCGUGCCCGCUUGGGCACGGUCGGCACAAAUAUUUGGUCCCACGCGGCGAGCGUUGCGGUCAGCGGUGGUUGUGCUCAUCAUCCCCCGAAGACGUCAAGACGCAGUCGCCCGUCGUGUGAUGGGACGCGCAGACCCCACGGAGCCGCCCCUGGGCGGUGUCCACCCUGCGACCCCA
rnacentral:rRNA from 1 species